ACGCUACAAUGGUCGGUACAGUAGGUUGCCAAGCCGCGAGGCGGAGCCAAUCCAAAAAAGCCGGCCUCAGUUCAGAUUGUAGGCUGCAACUCGCCUGCAUGAAGAUGGAGUUGCUAGUAACCGCAGGUCAGCAAUACUGCGGUGAAUACGUUCCCGGGUCUU
rnacentral:rRNA from 1 species